CUCAUACUCUCUCCAUCCACAAAUACUUGUCAUAAAAAUAGAUAUAUCUAGAUGUAUUUUUAUUUUAGAUACAUCUAUUUUUAUUCAUUUAUGUGACAAAUAAUUUUGGAUAGAGGGAGCAAUAA
rnacentral:pre_miRNA from 1 species